rnacentral:rRNA from 1 species
CGGGUGCACUGAUCCAGCCGGGCCUUUCCCUCUGUGGAACCCCAUGGCCUUCACUGGCUGUGGUGGGGAAACAGGACUUUUACUUUGAAAAAAUUAGAGUGCUCCAGGCAGGCCUAUGCUCGAAUACAUUAGCAUGGAAUAAUAGAAUAGGACGUGUGGUUCUAUUUUGUUGGUUUCUAGGACCGCCGUAAUGAUUAAUAGGGACAGUCGGGGGCAUCAGUAUUCAAUUGUCAGAGGUGAAAUUCUUGGAUCUAUUGAAGACUAACUACUGCGAAAGCAUUUGCCAAGGAUGUUUUCAUUGAUAAGGAACGAAAGUUAGGGGAUCGAAGACGAUCAGAUACCGUCGUAGUCUUAACUAUAAACUAUGCCGACUAGGGAUCGGACGAUGUUAUUCUUUGACGCGUUCGGCACCUUUCGAGAAAUCAAAGUGCUUGGGCUCCAGGGGGAGUAUGGUCGCAAGGCUGAAACUUAAAGAAAUUGACGGAAGGGCACCACCAGGGGUGGAACCUGCGGCUUAAUUUGACUCAACACGGGGAAACUCACCAGGUCCAGACACAGUGAGGAUUGACAGAUUGAGAGCUCUUUCUUGAUUCUGUGGGUGGUGGUGCAUGGCCGUUCUUAGUUGGUGGAGUGAUUUGUCUGCUUAAUUGCGAUAACGAACGAGACCUCAACCUGCUAAAUAGCCCGUACUGCUUUGGCAGUUCGCCGGCUUCUUAGAGGGACUAUCGG